UACGUAGGGUGCGAGCGUUAAUCGGAAUUACUGGGCGUAAAGCGUGCGCAGGCGGUUCGUUGUGUCGGCGGUGAAAGCCCCGGGCUCAACCUGGGAAUGGCCGUUGAAACUGGCGAACUGGAGUGUGGCAGAGGGGGGUGGAAUUCCGCGUGUAGCAGUGAAAUGCGUAGAGAUGCGGAGGAACACCGAUAGCGAAGGCAGCCCCCUGGGCUGACACUGACGCUCAGGCACGAAAGCGUGGGGAGCAAACAGG
rnacentral:rRNA from 1 species